rnacentral:lncRNA from 1 species
AGUUUUAGUUUCUGAUUUCAAUGCUGUAGCCUGUAUGCGAUCCUGUUUUCAGGGGGUGAAAUUGAUUUUGAAUUAAAGACCUUCUUUUAAAAAAAAAAAAUAUCCAGGUUUAGAAAUACUUGUUUUUACUUUCUUCCAAAAAUACAGGUUUUAAAUUGUUUUUCUUUUAAUGGCUCAAAACUACAGGUUUUAAAUUAUUUUUAUUUACACGUGGCACCAGAUCUAGACCCCCGGAUUUGAGGGAUGUCACAGUUGGUAUCAGAGCUGCAGGUUAUAAGUUAUUGAAAUCAGAAUAUAGGUGGUAAUGCCAGGUUUAAUAAAGAGAUGCGCUAAGUAUAAACUCACGUAGAGGUAGUCUACAACUCUUUGGAAGAGUCUGUGUCAAUAGAACCAAGAUUCCAAUACAGUAUUGAUUUUGGGUAUAACAUAGUGUGUAUAAUAGUUCUCUUAGUUCUCUUGACCCAGAACUAGUAAGUUUAUAUAUCAGGGAAGGAAGAACAUGCCCCACUAGAUCUAGUCUAUUGAGUAGUUAGUACCAAUAUCAGCAAACAAAUAGAUUCACCUGUUGAGACUAGAAUGUCAAUAAUUAUUUCAUAGUCCUCGUCACCAAGACAGAGAUAAAUUAGAAGGGUGACUUUAUGUGUGUAUAUUAUGGAUCAAAUUUCUUAACACUAGUUUAAUUGAGUUAGAAACUCAUAGUAGGUGGAUAAGAUUUCCUUCAGUAUUCAUCAGCUUGUUAGUUGAUUUAGAGUCCAAAUCACUUAAAGGAUAGACCUAUUAGGUAAGCUUUAUAAUGGGAGCCAAUUGGGGUUGGAUCAGUAGAGGUUCCCACAUAGUCUAGAGUACCCUUUGUUGUGUCUGCCAAGUUUUUGAGAACUAUUUGGAGAGUCACCUUCUGAUUCUUCUCAGUGAUAUAUAGAAUUGGUGAAAGAAUAUAGGUAUUACCAGGUCCGAAUUUAAAGCUUUGUAUAUAGUGAAGUAGUGAGCAUUAGAGCUAAUACAAGAAUAUUAAACUUGUAGGGUCAAGUAAGAAGUACCGUACAUAGUUAAGUAAUGGACGCUAAAGUUAUUUAGAGCUCGUGUAGAUUAGUGGAUAUAGUACUUAUGAGUAAGUUAAGACGUCAACACUCAGCGGUGAUGAUUAUACGAAACUCGAUAAUAUUUCGGACUAUGCGAAGCUGAGCAGGACUUCUGACGAUCAUGGAUAUUUAUGAUGAGAUCUUCACAGACCAUUGUGAGUCGACGAUAAUUUAUGUUAUUGAGCAUCAUCGAUUGCUGAAAAAUAGAAGAAGAUUAGAAUCAAAUAAUGAUCCAUCAGAGCAACAUAUCUUGAACAAUCUUGGCAAUACCUUCCUCUUUUAUUGAUUAUAUUGAUUACUUUCUUCAUCAAUGAAUUGUCUUGACAUCUUUUUCCUAGAGACAUUUAAUAAAUACUACAUUUCUCUCUCUCUUGAGUUAUAAAAUGAUACUUGUGUCUAUUUUAUCAUUUCUAACUAAUCUUUUCAUUGAAACUAGCACCUUUGGAACCUAUUCAAUUUUUAACCCAAGGUGCGCAUCAAAGAUUCAUUCAUCAAAAGUCAAUCAUUCUUAAUUGAUUUUGAAUAUCUAUUAUAUCAUUCUACUCUAACUGAGAUGAACAACCCUACCUAUAGGGGACACAAGGACUACCAGUCUGUGUGAUAGGAGUUGGAUGGGACGCCAUCACUUGUGUGUGUUGUACAUUACA